rnacentral:misc_RNA from 1 species
GAGACCAUCCCGUUUGGAUGGCCAGGAUGCGUGCAUUGGAAGGUCAGCAGCUGCUUGAGGAUGACCCCACAAUCGUGUACCUCACUGCAUACCUGCUCACCCUGGAUGCACAAUAUGAUUUCUUGGCUCGGCACAACCGUCAGAUGAUUUCCCGAGCAGAAGAAGCAGAGAAGCGCAACCGUAAGCUCCAUGUGGAUCUCACCACAGCUCAAGCCCGUGUAGCUGCCUUGGAAAGUUGUGAAGUCAUUGCUGUUGAAGCCCUGAAGCAAGCCAAGGAUGAGCAUGUCCAGAAGUUGAUGAAGGCCUACUUGGUAACCCAUAACCAACGUAGAGCCCUGCGGAUCCAAGAGCCUGCUUCAUCCAACCCAGUUCAACCCAUGAAAGAUGAGGACCCCCAGAUUCUUGAAGGUCACCCGAUCUCUAUCAGAGGAGAGAAGAAGGCUUGGGAACUCCUGGAAGGAGCCAUAGUCUUGGAAGGAAUUCCAGUCUUCCCUCAGGCUAUGGAUAAGCAAGAGUACCCCAAGUCCUCCUAGGAUUCCCCGCCAGAGUUGUUUGAGCCCCUCACCAUGAAAAAGAUUCCAGCACCAUCCCUUGAAGUCAAGGAAGAAGCUGCAAGCACCCCACUAGCACUGCC